rnacentral:misc_RNA from 1 species
GAGAAGAACGUAGCAAAAUGCGAUACUUGGUGUGAAUUGCAGAAUCCCGUGAACCAUCGAGUUUUUGAACGCAAGUUGCGCCCGAAGCCUUUUGGCCGAGGGCACGUCUGCCUGGGCGUCACGCAUCGCGUCGCCCCCCACAAUUCUCCGUAAAGGGAACAUGUGUUUUGGGGGCGGAUAUUGGUCUCCCGUGCUCAUGGCGUGGUUGGCCGAAAUAGGAGUCCUUUCGAUGGACGCACGAACUAGUGGUGGUCGUAAAAACCCUCGUCUUUUGUUUCGUGCUGUUGGUCGCAAGGUAAACUCUUUAAAAACCCCAAUGUGUCGUCUCUUGACGACGCUUCGACCGCGACCCCAGGUCAGGCGGGACUACCCGCUGAGUUUAAGCAUAUCAAUAAGCGGAGGA